CCUCUCCCCUCUGGCGGCCUGACAGGGCUGGCGGCUGCAGCGCCGGCCUGGGGCUGUGUCCCGAUUCCCGAGCGGCGGGUGGCCGGGUUUGUGGGGAAAGGCACAUACAGAGGUAUGAUGGUGAUCCAGGCAAUGUAACUAUUGCAUUCUUUGGUGGCUUCAGAUCUUCUCCAUGUCUUCCAGCAUAACCAUCCAGGUAGCAGAUAAUUUGAAGGUAGGUCACUACCAGCUGUCUCUGAUGGGAACUGUUGCAAACGCUAGUGAAGAUGUGGUUGGGCUGUCCCGAGAUCUGCAGCCCCAUACACCUGUCACCUUAUUUCCAAAUAACGAUGUUACCUGCAGUGCCUUUUUGUGCAGUAGCAACAUGGGCAAGGACUAUUGUUCAUGGCUUAAUCUGCCCACUUCAGCUCUUCCCUCUGCCCCAGGGGGGACUCCCCUGCCAGGGUGGCAUCUGGUACCCUGAAAAUCCCCUGUUGGCAAGUGAGGUAGAUGCCUAUGUCAGAGCAUACAGCUAAAUUCAGGUCUUAAGUAUUGACACUGCUUUAAAAAGAUGAGGCUGGUGUCUGAGCUGCUUGGCUGUCCCACUCUUUUUGCUUGCCAAAGAGCCAUGCUGCUUGGCCAGGCCUGUGUGUGCAUGGAGAGGUAGCUCUCGUGCCUGGCUGUCUUAAAUCAAUGUGCUAAAAAAGGAGGAAGCUGGGAAACAAAGAGUCAGAGAGGUGACUUGACCCAGAAGCAGUGACUUCACUUGCAAAUGUAAAUAAAUUAGUAAUAAUUUAAUUAAGGGCAUCUCCCCAUGACCUUGUAUUGGCCAGAUCACAAACCAAACUUCGCCCACCCUUUUUUAAACUAUAUUAAUUUUAGCUAAAAUAUUUUCACAAAGCAUUUUGACCCAAUGUAGGCAAUACCUUACUGUCUUUACUUUCUAUAACAAGUCAGUAUUUCUGAAUUAUGCUUCAUAUUACCACAGUGCGACCAUUCAAUCCUGAUGCCUGUGUAGCCUGGAAAAGCUUGGUUUGUGCUGGAUCGUGCCCAAAUUCAUUUAUGUAUUUUAAGUCACGUGGUGCUGCUUGUUUCAUUUGGAAUCACGUGCUGUAUCUGUGGAAUACCACCUAAUGUUAAAUUCCACUAGAUAUGGGAUAAUUUUUUAUUCAUAUGCAAUAUCUGAUUGAAAUGUUAUUGGCAGUGUAUGAGGUAUGCACAUAUACAUAUGAAGAUGAAUAAGUAUUUUCUUAGGUCUGUGGGAUUUCAGUUGCAUUCCGAGGGCAUGAUUCAUUUCCUCCUCUGAAACUCCUGCUAUUGGUGCUGAGGGUGUGGAGCUUGCCCCUACAGGCCAAAUAGGCGGAGCUGUCCAGGAAAGAGUUGGGUCAUGGGACUGUCCAGUGGAUGUGCUGAAUCAGUGCAAUUCACAAGUUGUUUGAUCCAUACCUUUUCUGAAUGUUUUGAACUACUCUUCUGUCUGUGCUAAUGAACUCCUGAUCUUAGUGAACACUGACUGAAUUGUAAUUUCCCAGUGAGGAGUACCUUAGCUAACACAGCUGCCAUCAUACGGAAAACAGGACCAAAAAGGAGGGCCCACUGCACCCCGAGGGCUGUGCAUCAAUGACAGUUACCUGUCAUUCAUAACUCUUGACACUUGGAUUCUGCCUGCAGAUACAUGCUAGAGCUGUGAUGCUCCUGUGAGCACGAGAGCUGACAGCAGUGGAGUCACACCAAGAUAAAUCAGCCCCUUUGUAGAUCAUACAUUGCCACCUUACAGCUAGUUUUGGUCUACUAAUGCCAUACUCUCUCCAUUUCUGGGUGUCAAUACCUGGGUGACUUGUGCAGAUCCUUGCGCACAGUCAGGCUACAAGCAAGUGACAUCUAAUAGGCAGAGGAGUUUUCUUUCAGCUUGGUCCUACAGCAAUGCUAGGUAUAUAGGCCCCAUUCUCGUGAUUUAUGCAAUGCUGUUUAGCUGGUGCCACAUUAAUGUCAGUGGGUGAGUGUUCCUGUAUCUCAUGUCCUUGAUUACACUUCUGUUCCUAGAAUUUAUCAAAAGUGUGCCCCCAAGCCCCACAAAAAAGUCUAAAUAAGUCAAAAAGGCUGUUACUAUAAUUUCCCAUUUGAAAUGUAUUUUAUUAGAAAUGUUAUUCUCUGGAUAAAACAAUUAUCAGUCUCUGAUUCUGCAGUGGUGUUUUAGACUUAGUUAAUAAAUCAUGCUUGUCACUUUUCAUUUAGAAAGGAUUUUACAGACAUAAUUAAUUAAACCUGACGGUAUCCUUGUGGGAUAAGUAAGUACUCUGACUUUUUAAAACAGUGGCACUCAGGCACACUGGUUAUACUACUUUCUCAAGUCAGUGGAAGGACCAAGACUAGAAUUUAAAGCUUCCUGCUAUCCUAACAUAAUUUAAGAGAUGAGACUAUCCGUUCUUUUCUUAUUUCAUUAUGAUAUCCAUGUGUGUGAUGCCUGAAUUAUUAGGUGUGGUGCUGUGGCCUGUAGUAUGCAGUGUGGUAGACUGGAAUAUUUUCUGCUUAAAAUCUGUUACUUGAUUUAACAGGGAGGACAGUUUUUUCAGUAUCUUUAUCUGGAACCAUCAGACAUGUAACUGUCGUAAUGCUGCUAUUCAUUCAUUCAUUCAUUCAUUCAUUCAUUCACCCUUAUGGUGUCCUCCAGUAUAUUCCAUUUUAAUAGUAGUAGCAGUGCUUUAUAGUGCUUAUUAACGGUCUGUCAAGACCAAGAUCAAAUUAUGCAAGACUACUGAGAGGAGAGUAAGGUACUCAUCGGCCCUUGACUUUAAUCUGUAUGUGAAAGAUGCCUGUGGGAGUGAAGAACACAAAACCGUUGUUCACAAGGUACCCAGAUUAACAAAGGAUGGGUCAAAAGUUGCUCUGAUAAGAGUUCAAUGUUUCUCACCUGUAAAAAUGUUGCUAGACAUAAAGGAGAGAGGGUGAAAGAUGCUACUUAAAAUUUGAAACAGAUGUGUAUGUUCCUUUUAGAAUAUUAUAAGUGUGCAGAGAUAGUAACAAAGGUAAUUUUUUUCCACCAAAGUCACUUCAAGAAUUUAAAAACAUGUCUUUUAAGCAUGGGUUUUCUGUCUGCUAGGCAGUUGGUCACAUACUACUCUAUAUAUGGAGAUUGGCUCAUCUGGAUAUAUUUUCUUUUACAUUUUAAUGGUAUCCCAAAGUGUAAGUUCCAGAUAAUAUAUCUGCAAAACUUAAAUGUCUUACACUCUUUCAUAUUAUUUUUGCAUGGAGGAUCGUGAUAGGAUUACCUUUGUGUGCUUGUUCUUAGGACAAUAAUUAAGAUGCUGUAUGAUAUUAGGGAACAUUUUUUACUUCAGAUACUGUGACAUCAUACUGUUUGACAAAAAUAUAAUUAACCGUAAUGAAUCUAAGUUGAUAUUUGCAAGUGCAGCUUCCUGCCAAAUGUCAAUAGUCAUCUGCUUCAGUUUCUGUGUCAUCAGUGCAAUGGGUAGAGACAGUGUGUUAAGAUACCUGAUACAGGGUUGGGAGCAGGUGGAGGAGAAAUGCAAAUGUUACAUUACUUAUUAUCCUUAUAUUAAUAAAAUAGCUACUGUUAAAUAUA